rnacentral:rRNA from 1 species
UACAGAGGUCUCAAGCGUUGUUCGGAUUCAUUGGGCGUAAAGGGUGCGUAGGCGGCGCGGUAAGUCGGGUGUGAAAUCUCGGAGCUUAACUCCGAAACUGCAUUCGAUACUGCCGUGCUUGAGGACUGGAGAGGAGACUGGAAUUUACGGUGUAGCGGUGAAAUGCGUAGAUAUCGUAAGGAAGACCAGUGGCGAAGGCGGGUCUCUGGACAGUUCCCGACGCGUGAGGCACGAAGGUCAGGGGAGCAAACGGGG